CCUACGGGUGGCAGCAGUGGGGGAUAUUGCACAAUGGGGGAAACCCUGAUGCAGCGACGCCGCGUGAGUGAAGAAGUAUUUCGGUAUGUAAAGCUCUAUCAGCAGGGAAGAAAAUGACGGUACCUGACUAAGAAGCCCCGGCUAACUACGUGCCAGCAGCCGCGGUAAUACGUAGGGGGCAAGCGUUAUCCGGAUUUACUGGGUGUAAAGGGAGCGUAGACGGGUAGGAAAGUCUGAAGUGAAAGCCCGGGGCCCAACCCCGGGACUGCUUUGGAAACUGGGUAGCUGGAGUGCAGGAGGGGCAGGCGGAAUUCCUGGUGUAGCGGUGAAAUGCGUAGAUAUCAGGAGGAACACCAGCGGCGAAGGCGGCCUACUGGACUGUAACUGACGUUGAGGCUCGAAAGCGUGGGGAGCAAACAGGAUUAGAUACCCGAGUAGUC
rnacentral:rRNA from 1 species